rnacentral:SRP_RNA from 1 species
AGAUGGGCCCUGUGCGACGGUGGGCUGUGAACCAUGUCAGGCGGGGAACCGAGCAGCAUUAAGCAGUUUUUUCCGUGCGCCGCAGUCAGCCUAUUUGCC